AACCUGAUCUGGAGUCCCGUCCUCACUCUCCUCGCCUCUUUUCCCCUCCUCAUCCCUUGUUCUGCCACCACUGUAUUCCUUCUGACUCGAAUCCAAGGGAGAGACGACCUGAUCUGGUGGGCUUGUGGCGACAGAGAUGGCAGGGGAAUCCAGCGGAGGGGAUGUAAGCAGAGAUACCAACCAUCAAAAUUCAGAGAGCAAUAUCAUCAUUGAAGACCUGGACCAAACUUUUCAUGGCAAUGUUUCUGAAGUUGAGGCCUCUAAUAUUGAUUUAACAGAAACGGAUGCAUCAGAUGGCAUGUUGCUUGAUGGUAUCAGAAAAUGCUGCAAAAGAGUGAUGAGAGUAAACAUGGGAGGAAUGUUUUGAAGGAGCAAAGCAGGAAGAUGGGAACAACCCAAGAAUGUUUGAAUAAAGGAAGAGCAAGUGCGUAUAUCAGAUUUAGCAUAGGGUGUUCUUCCAAGAUAGUCGACAGUGUUUGCAAAAGCAAUUACAGAAUGGAGCUUGUGAAGAACUCUGGAUUCGGAUACAUGCUUGUGAAGAACUCUGGAUUCAAGCAAUUUUGCCAAGGCCUACAUCUGGUCCCAAGCUUUUUUUUUUACAACAAACAAAUAAAUUAAGCCCACAAACACAAGGCCUAGGCCCAGGAAACUUGCCGAGAGUGUGGGGGUGGUGGAGGGGGAGAGGGACGACCCAGCCCUGGAAGCGUCCAACAAAAAAGGACGAGCAACGACAAACAAUUGAACGACUCGGUGACAAACAAUCGAACGACAGAACAAGAACAGGGGCGAUCGGAAGGCUACAAACAGGAUGAUGUCAUGUUAGAUGUGACAUAAUUAUGUCACAUCUAGAUGUGUCCUAGACGGACCCUGAAAGGAAACGAUAGCGAAGGGCUAGUCAAGAAUGGCGCCGCGAUUAUCGGAUCGAACGCCGGCACUCUCGUUCUUUCUAUUCUCUGUUUGACUGAAUAGAAGGAAAAAAAGGGCAGCGCCUGAUCUGGGUCUUCUUCUA